UACGCACGCUGGCGGCGUGCUUAACACAUGCAAGUCGAACGGAAAGGCCCUGCUUUUGUGGGGUGCUCGAGUGGCGAACGGGUGAGUAACACGUGAGUAACCUGCCCUUGACUUUGGGAUAACUUCAAGAAACUGGGGCUAAUACCGGAUAGGAGCUCCUGCUGCAUGGUGGGGGUUGGAAAGUUUCGGCGGUUGGGGAUGGACUCGCGGCUUAUCAGCUUGUUGGUGGGGUAGUGGCUUACCAAGGCUUUGACGGGUAGCCGGCCUGAGGGGGUGACCGGCCACAUUGGGACUGAGAUACGGCCCAGACUCCUACGGGAGGCAGCAGUGGGGAAUAUUGCACAAUGGGCGGAAGCCUGAUGCAGCAACGCCGCGUGCGGGAUGACGGCCUUCGGUUUGUAAACCGCUUUCGCCUGUGACGAAGCGUGAGUGACGGUAAUGGGUAAAGAAGCACCGGCUAACUACGUG
rnacentral:rRNA from 1 species